rnacentral:rRNA from 1 species
UGGGGAAUCUUGCGCAAUGCGCGAAAGCGUGACGCAGCAACGCCGCGUGGAGGAAGACGGUCUUCGGAUUGUAAACUCCUUUCAGUUGGGACGAAGCUCAACGGGUUAAUAGCCCGGCGGAGUGACGGUACCUUCAGAAGAAGCCCCGGCUAACUACGUGCCAGCAGCCGCGGUAAUACGUAGGGGGCUAGCGUUGUCCGGAAUCAUUGGGCGUAAAGCGCGUGUAGGCGGUCCGGUAAGUCCGCUGUGAAAGUCGGGGGCUCAACCCUCGAAUGCCGGUGGAUACUGUCGGGCUAGAGUGCGGAAGAGGCGAGUGGAAUUCCUGGUGUAGCGGUGAAAUGCGCAGAUAUCAGGAGGAACACCAAUUGCGAAGGCAGCUCGCUGGGACGUAACUGACGCUGAGACGCGAAAGCGUGGGGAGCAAACA